rnacentral:rRNA from 1 species
UACGAAGGGGGCUAGCGUGGUUCGGAUUUACUGGGCGUAAAGCGCACGUAGGCGGGUCGUUAAGUCAGGGGUGAAAUCCCGGAGCUCAACUCCGGAACUGCCUUUGAUACUGGCGACCUUGAGGCUGGAAGAGGUUAGUGGAAUUCCCAGUGUAGAGGUGAAAUUCGUAGAUAUUGGGAAGAACACCAGUGGCGAAGGCGGCUAACUGGUCCAGAUCUGACGCUGAGGUGCGAAAGCGUGGGGAGCAAACAGG